GAUGAACGCUGGCGGCGUGCUUAACACAUGCAAGUCGAACGGUGAAGGCGGAGCUUGCUCUGCUGGAUCAGUGGCGAACGGGUGAGUAACACGUGAGCAAUCUGCCCCUGACUCUGGGAUAAGCGCUGGAAACGGCGUCUAAUACUGGAUACGAGCUGCGAAGGCAUCUUCAGCAGCUGGAAAGAACUUCGGUCAGGGAUGAGCUCGCGGCCUAUCAGCUUGUUGGUGAGGUAACGGCCCACCAAGGCGUCGACGGGUAGCCGGCCUGAGAGGGUGACCGGCCACACUGGGACUGAGACACGGCCCAGACUCCUACGGGAGGCAGCAGUGGGGAAUAUUGCACAAUGGGCGAAAGCCUGAUGCAGCAACGCCGCGUGAGGGACGACGGCCUUCGGGUUGUAAACCUCUUUUAGCAGGGAAGAAGCGAAAGUGACGGUACCUGCAGAAAAAGCGCCGGCUAACUACGUG
rnacentral:rRNA from 1 species